rnacentral:SRP_RNA from 1 species
GCCAGGCGUGGUGGUGGGCACCUGUAAUCCCAGCUACUCGGGAGGCUGAGACAGGAGAAUUGCUUGAACCCGGGAGGCAGAGGUUGCAGUGAGCUGAGAUCAUGCCACUGCACUCCAGCCUGGGUGACACAGCAAGACUCUGUCUCAA